AGCUCUCAGGGAGCUGGGAGCUCAUCCCCAAACCCCUAAUUAACAGCAGUCAGAUGCAGUGGAGUGUGCGUGAGGACGUGUUGGGAGAAAGAGGAUGAGGGAUUUAGGACGGGCUGGGGUGGUCUGGUCUCCGCUAGGCUGAGCGGGUCUGCGAGGGUGGUGGGUGUGGAACGGGAGCCCUCCCCAGCCUGAAUUUUAAAGUCGGAGGAGCAGAGGAUGCGGUCAGCUCAAAGCAACUGCCCGUCUUCCGCGGCUUCACCUGCGCGCGCCGGAUCUGGCGGCUCCCAUUUCCACGUCUCCAUGGCAACAGAGGAGUAAAGACAUUCACUCAGUCAGAAUGCUGGGCUGACAAGGGCCAGGCAAACGUUUCAUUCCUGUUUUUGGAACGGGGGUGGGAGUGUCCAUUUUCGUGCCAAGAGCCAGAUUUUGUUCUGGAGAUCUGGGAAGCAGCGGCUACUUCAUCAGGCAAAAUCACCGCCCAUGACCUGGGGGAGCAGAGAGUGGCCCUCCUGGGGAGGAGGAAAGAUCCAGAAAAUCCCCUCCCUCUGCCGGGGAGAGCGAAAAGGGGAAAGACACUCAGAAACAUCCAAGGUUAUUGUUUGUCUGAGCUGAGCUCAGUUGUGUUUCGGCAAAAGACACACACCCUCUCCUCCCUGGACCUCAGCGCUGCCCCAGCCUGUGGACUCCUGGCUCUCUCACCGGCUUGCUCAUUCUUUCCCUUUCUGCCUCCCCCCCACCCCAAGAAGGGCCGUCUUUUCUCUUUGAUGUGCACUGCUGAAUCACAGCAAAUAAUGUCACACAACGUUUUCUCCAGAGACCAGUGCUCUGAGCCCUGAUUUUAUGCAGAUGGAGUCACAAUGCAUCACACUUCAAAAUGAUUCUAAGUUUAAUUUCCCCAAGAUAAAACAAUGAAAGAAAGAUACAUAUGGAGGAAGAAUCCCAUCCUUAGGGCCACCAAACGUUCCCAGGAUCUGGGAUGCUUGUCACUCUGUCCCCUUACCUGCAGCUACAUCGUGCUCAUAAUCCUUAGAUGUCGCUCCUUUGCUGAAGAGUGUCAUUGCCCACACUGCAGAAACUGCAUCGCUGGCCUGAAACGUGCUUGCCAGAGGGUAGCUUAUUCCACAGGCUUAGAACUAGGUCAUCAGGACCGCCUGAGGGCAAGCUAUGUAAAUGAAUGUGCUGCAGGACACGGAAAUGUGAUAAUACAUUUUCCCAAACUUCUUGAAAAGUAAUAUCUUGUAAGCAUCUCAGUAUGGCAGUUCAUGAGUUUGGCAGAUGUAUUUGGAUGCUAUCAGUGCAGAGGCACUCACUCCCCAGCCUGGGCUGUCGUGUCCCACAGCCAAGUUCACCUCCGACCUGCAAAGACCAGUGUUGUCCUCACUUUGCGGGUGAUGCGUGAGGGGACGUGGCUGGUGAGGUCAGGUGGAGGUGGGUCUCGGGCUCGCUGUCCUGUGCUCUCCCACCUCUGCCCACCUUGGCACAGGUGCCUGCCCGACUAGCAGAAGAGACUCUCCAGCAGAAGCUUUGUUUGGCGGUGGCAAGGUUUCCUCCCACAAUCCUGUUCUAGAAGCCCAGUAGGGAAGGAGGUUGUCAGUGGAGUCGUGGUUGAGUGAGUGGUGGGGGACAAAGCCUUUUCAUUCUCCUCUCUCCUCCCUCUUGAGUGAUCACCUGGCCGUGUGGACUCUGCUUGAGAACUGCCCCUGACAGCAUCCUCUUAGGCGGUUCGUUUGGGGUCUGUUUGAAGUUUCCUGCGGAGUCCAGCCCUGCCUUUGGUCUUUGAGUACUUACAUAGUGCAAAGCCCUGUGCCAGACCUGCCAGCCUCCCACCAGGUGGAUGACAGCUUGGGAGGUUCUCAGGGCUGCCCGCUCUGCAGUGUGGGGAGGGGUGGCGUCGGAUGGAUGGACUGGGCUCCUGGCUGCCCCCAGCUGUUUAAUGCACCAGGUCUCCCGCUGACCUCUCUGUGGGAUGAGUCCUCAAACAGCAUCCUUGGGAACUGUUGUCAGCUUUUUAGCUAUGAUAAUCAUGUAGUGCACAUACUAAAUAAAAGAGCCUGUAUAUUUUAGUGGUAUAUGCCAAAGUAUCUACAGAUGCGCAGAUAAAAUUAUUACAGAAUUAUCCAGGGAGGGGGUGUAGAUGUGGUAAUAGAUGAAACAGUCAUUUUGUUGACCCUGGGUAAUGAGUGCAUUGUUAUAUCUUUCUACUUAGGACAGCUUUGAAAUUGUCCAAAAGUUUAAAAUACGCAGAUAUAUUAUAGAUAAAUAGACAAACAUACAGGAAAAAAAAAUCUGUGUUGGGGCUUGCCUCAAGAUCACCCACUUUGCUUCUCUCAGUUUGUCCAUUCUGCUGCUCUCUGGCAGGGUCUCAUCCUUUCCCUGGGGUAGGUGAGUCUUUGGACUUGCUUCUCUAAUGUGUUGACUAGGAUUCUACCCCUACUGGCAGCUUUGCCUGUACCUUUGACUUUGGCCUCUUCCACAGCUUAGAGUGCAGUAUGUUUCUCCACAAAGGUUUGUGGUGGAGACCUUACCAUCCAGCUCACUCUGGGAGAUGUGAAACAUUAAAAUUUUUUUACAGAGCUCACUUACUUUUAAGAUCUUCCAUUUUACAGAUGAGAAGACAGAGGCUAAGUAAACUGCCCAGGAGAACCAGGCAUGGGAACUCAGACAGUUUGACUCCAGGGAUGGCCUUUCCACCACUGCAUAUUAUAGGUGUUCUACUUGACAGUUGUAAAUGGUCAGGCUCAAUAGGAGGUACCCCCCCCACCUCCCACUCCAGCGAUGGAGCAAUUGUCAUCAAUUUUUUUGUAUUAAAAAAUUGGUAAAUAGAGAAAGUAAAACGCUGCUGUGCUACCAAAAUAGAUAGUAACUUUUUUCUGCAUGUGUUUUAUUUUAUAUUUUUGCUUUUAUUUAUUUAUUUUUUUUAGGGCUACGUGUGUGGCAUAUGGAAGUUCCCAGGCUAGGGGUCGAAUCGGAGCUGCAGCUGCCAACCUACACCACAGGUCACAGCAAUGCCGGAUCCUUAACCCACUGAGCGAGGCUAGGGCUCGAACCCACAUCCUCCUGGAAACUAGUCGGGUUCUUAACCCUGUGAGUCACAAUGGGAACUCUUCUGCAUGUGUUUUAGAUAACUAUAUUCAUAAUGACAAACAGUAUACAUUUUAAUGCUCUGAUUUUAAAAUGUUACAUCACAAGCAUUUCUUUGUAGUGCUUUUCUUUAUAGUAUCAUUCCAAAUGUGCUCUAGCGUUAAAGCAGUUCUUCCUCUUUUGUGGAACUCUCUGUUGUUUCCAAUUUUAUGGUGUUUGGUAUAAUCUGGGAACGAGUAUCUUGAGGCAUAUAGCUGCUGCUUCUUCUUUAUUUUUUUCUUUUCUGUAAAUGACCAGAGAUAAGAUUAUUGGAUCAAAGACUAAGUAAUCUAUGGCCCUGAAUCUUAUUGCCACUUGAAUUUCAGGUCAAUGGUUUUAUUUCAUAUCCUAUGCUUUUUUUGUUGUAUCCUCUCAAACACUGGGUGUCAACAAAUAAUUUCUUUCCUAUUUGAUACACAAACAAAGGUGAGGUUGGUUUAAUUUAAAUUGGUUUUAUUUCUAAGAAUGGCAGUUGUGCAAAUGGCUCUCUAGCUUCUAGGAAUCCCUUCAUAAUCCUCUGGGGUUGCCACCUCUCAGGCUGAGAAAAAUCUCUUUCACGUUCCUGAGGCUUGAUGAUAUCUUUUCUCUUAAAAAAACCCACAGGUUAGUUUCUAAUGAUAAAUUUAACAAAGACAUGCAAAUUGUAGAAAAUCUUAAAACAUGGACACGUUUUUAAAAAGAGAACAAUCAGGAGCU
rnacentral:lncRNA from 1 species